rnacentral:rRNA from 1 species
AGUGAACGCUGGCGGCGUGCUUAACACAUGCAAGUCGAACGAGAACGGGUUAUAGCUUGCUAUAAUUGUCAGCUAAGUGGCGCACGGGUGAGUAAUGUAUAGGUAAUAUGCCUCUUACUAAGGGAUAACAAAUGGAAACGUUUGCUAAUACCUUAUACUCCUUAUUAACAUAAGUUAAUAAGGGAAAGAUUUAUUGGUAAGAGAUUAGCCUGUAUUGUAUCAGUUAGUUGGUGGGGUAAUGGCUUACCAAGACUAUGACACAUAACUGGUUUGAGAGGAUGCUCAGUCACACUGGAACUGAGACACGGUACAGACUCCUACGGGAGGGAGCAGUGGGGAAUAUUGCACAAUGGACGAAAGUCUGAUGCAGCAACGCCGCGUGGAGGAUGACACAUUUCGGUGCGUAAACUCCUUUUAUAUGAGAAGAUAAUGACGGUAUUAUAUGAAUAAGCACCGGCUAACUCCGUGCCAGCCGCCGCCGUAA